GCCCGUUUGGCGCAAUGGUAGCGCGUCGCCCUCCUAAGAUGCAAAGGAUUUACUCUCUGGAGUAGUAUCUGGAGCGGGUUAUCACAGGCGAAGGCUGCGGGUUCGAUCCCCGUGAUGGGUG